AACCUUAUGGACCUGCGGGCGUAUACCUGCGGAGGGAUCAUUACCGAGUUUACAACUCCCAAACCCCUGUGAACAUACCUAUACGUUGCCUCGGCGGAUCAGCCCGCGCCCCGUAAAAAGGGACGGCCCGCCCGAGGACCCCUAAACUCUGUUUUUAGUGGAACUUCUGAGUAAAACAAACAAAUAAAUCAAAACUUUUAGCAACGGAUCU
rnacentral:misc_RNA from 1 species